rnacentral:lncRNA from 1 species
AAAAAAAAAACUAAACUAAAUAAACUAUAAAUUAUAGAUCAUCAUCAUCUAUGAAAAUGAUUGACUUAUAAAGAGAUAUAUUUCAUCAUCAUCCGAAAUAAGUUGCUGCAUAAAAUGAUGACAAUUACGAUGACACCAAGCAUGCAAACAUCAUUGUUGCAAAAACAACAGUAAACUCACAAUUUUGAAAAUUUUUGUAAUGUACAGAAAGUUGCUAGUAGGUCACCACAUAUUUCAACAAGGGCACCACUUACAUUCACUGAGAUUAGAGAAUUUAACAUUCACUAAGGUCACUUGACACACAACUCAAGCACUAUCCCACCCAAGAACAACAGUUAGCUCAAAAUUUUAAAGUCGUUGUGCACAAAGUUGGUAACAAAUCACCACUUAUUACUACACAAGUCACCAGUUAAUGUGACUAACUACACUGACACUGAUAUUAGAAAAGUUUACCUUGGUGACCUACACUAAGAUCACUUUACACACACCCUCAUACACCACUCCACCCAAGAACAACUUUAAGUUCAAAAUUUCAAAAAUUUGUUCAAAGUACAAAAAGUUGGUAGCAGGGCACCAUGUAUCCCAACAAAGGUCACCACUUCUUGUGACUAACAACAUUCACACUAAGAUUAGAGAACUUAACCUUGGUGUCCUUCACUAAGGUUACUUUAUACACACCUCAUGUACCACCAACCAAAGAAUAACAAUUACCUUAAAAUUUCAAAAAUUUGUUCAAUAUGCAAAAAGUUUGUAGCAAGUCACCUCUUAUUCCUACAUGGGUCACCACUUACUGUGACUAACUGCAUUGGCACUAAUAUUAGAAAUGUUUACCUUGCCGACCUACAUUGAGGUCACUUUACACACACCUCAUGCACCAGCCACCAAAGAAAACCACUUAGCUCAAAAUUUUGAAAUUUUGUUCAAUGUACAAAAAGUUGGUAGCAAGUCACCACUUAUACCUACAUGGGUCACCACUUACUGUGACUAACUACAUUGGCACUAAAAUUAGAAAUGUUUACCUCGACGACCUCCAUUGAGGUCACUUUACACACACCUCAUGCACCACCCACCAAAAAACAACAAUUAGCUCAAAAUUUUUAAAAUUUGUUCAAUAAAAUUUGGUAGCAACUCACCACUUAUUCCUAAAUGGGUCACCACUUACUGUGACUAACUAUAUUGACACUGACAUUGAUAUUUGAAAAUUUGUUCAGUGUACAAAAAGGUGAUAGCAGGUCAGCACGUAUUCCAACAAAGGUCACUACUUCUUAUGACUAACUACAUUAAGACUGAGAUUAGAGUUUUAUAAUCUCAUUGUUAAUUUAGUUAGUUAGUCGUAGCCACAUUAAGUGGUGACUUGUGUAGGAAUAAAUGAUGACCUGCUACUAAGUUUAUGCACACUUAAGUGAUUUAAAAAUUUUGAGCUAUGUUGUUCUUGUGCAGGGUAGUGCAUGAGAUAUAUGUAAAGUGACCGUAGUAGAGGACACGAAUGUCAAGUUCUCUAAUUUGAUUAUUAAUGUAGUUAGUUAUAGUCACAUUAAGGGGCACUAAUGUUUUUUUUUCAAUUUUAAAUUUAUUUUUUCAAAAAAAUAUAAAUUUGAUAGAUGAUAUGUAUAUAUAUAACUAAUUUUACGUCAACAUUUUUUUAAUAUAUAUAUAUAUAACUAAUUUUACAUAAAAAAUUUAAGUAAUAGAAACAUCCAAAAAAUAGUUGAUAUUAUUGUUAUAUAACUUAUUCAAUCACAAUUUAUCCAGAAAUAAACUACGAAUUAGUGACCAAAAUGACCCUUUUAAUACAAGCUACUCUCAAUAACUAUAUCGUUCAAUAUACACAACUGUUAAAACAAAAAAUUUAAGUAAUAAAAACAUCCAAAAAAAAUGAUAUUGUUGUUAUAUAACCUAUUCAACUACUCACAACCACAACUUAUCAAAAAACAAACUACAAAUUAGUGGCCAAAAUGACCCUCUUAACAUUCCUAAUUACAAGCUACUCUCAACAACUACAUUGUUCAAAUACACAAUUGUUACAACCAAAAAAUGUACUUAUAAGUGCUUACAAGAAACAUAUAUCAAACUUUGUUGAUGGGUUCAAACGCCUCAACAAUUACCACACUAUUUUCUCUAAUUACCUAUAGAAUUGGAGUAAAAUUAUCAAUUUAAAAUCAAAGAUCAUAAUCUACUAACUACAAUACCAUGACUACGGAUGUUUAAAAGAAAAUGCAAAAGAACUCACCACCAUCCCUAUGUUAAUUUUCUCAUUGUCAUUCACUUUCAUGGUGUUGUCAACAACUAAAUUCAUAAAUUGGUCAAAGCCAAGGAGAAUAUAAAAAAUUCAUAUAGCACAAUUUAGAAGGAAAAAAAAAACACGAACACACAAAGCGAACAAAUACAGAAUUGCGAACAUAAUAUCUUCUUUGUAUAUAACUAGUUGAAACAAAAACAUCUACAUUUUUAUGAUAAAAAAAUAUAAUUAAAAGGUAAUUAUUAUAACAAUUAUCAAAAUAAAAAUGGUUAUUAAAACUUAUUUUAAAAUUGUGAAGUAAUAUAUACAUAAUGAAAGUAAUUAGAAAAAUAAUCUAUUUUAUUAAUUAUUAUAAUUACAGUGAUUAUUAUCUUUCAUCGUGGUAAUUAUUAUGGGUAUAACUUCUUAAAGAUUAUAAAAUGAAAAAAAAGUCGAUUGUAUUGGUAAAAAUAAAAGUAAUAAAAAUAUAAAAAAGGUAGUUAUAAAAAUUAAUCUACAUUUAUUAAUUAUUAUAUAUUAUAGAAUACUUUAUAGAUAGAUUUAGUUAAAAUUUAUUAAAAUAUAUACAAUAGAGAGUGAAAUUCGAAGAUUCAGACAGAUUUUACUAACAGUUUUCUGCGUUAAUGGAACGUGGAUUGGAGCAUCAUGCAGAGUAAUUAUAAGCGAAUAUGUAAUCCAAUUAUUAGAGCAAUUAUAACUCACCCAACUCCUUUGAUUUUGAGUAAAGUGAGAGUUAAAGGACUAGACCAGCCAAAGUUCAAUAAUGCUAAGAUAAUCCAAGAAAAACUAUAUUUUGUUAAAAUAAUAAAAAAUCUUUUCAAUUACUAUAACAAGUUAGAAAUAUGCUUUAAUGAUAAGUGACCAACAUUCAUCAUAAAUAAAACUUGCUUAGCACUUACUAAGCCCACAGAAUACCUUUUUGUAUUUAAUAAUAACAAAAUUUAUUAAAUCACUCAGAAGUGAAACAUAUGCAAAACGGUGAAGAAUGCAAAUAAUAACAAGACAACACCUUUUAACAAAGUAAUGGAAAACAACAACUAAGGGCACAUGAAUUUCUUUGGAUUAAGCUCCAAUUGUGGCGGCUCCUUAGUUACUUUGGGAUUCAAAAAAUACUGCAAGAUGAAGGACUGAAUUUGAACAUAUGUAAAAGCAACCAAAGCCCGCCAUUUAUCUUUUUUACUUACAAUUUAAAAUUUACAAUUUCCAUAAGCCCUUGAACAUGCAUCACAUUAUAUACAAAGUUUAUACAAAAACUAUCGUUAAAGAGUUAUUAUAAGAAAUAUUGGAAGGGAAAAAUACGUUAGUUACACAAAAUCAUCAUGCGGUAGUAGUGAACACAGAUUUAAAUUGGCUUUUUAUAUGGAAUUCACUAUCUUAUGGUAUACAUAAGAGAUAUACAAGUAUCUGAAUGCAAACUAAUAUUGAAUGCAAAUACAAUUGAAUUUACAGUAAUCUAAAAUUAAAAUAAAAACAACAAAUGUAAUCAGAUAUUGAAAUACUGAUUUCAAAUUCAGAAUUGAAAAGCAGUAAACAAUCGUUAAAGUAUAAGAGAAUUUGAAUGCAUACAUGAAAGAAAAUGUGAUGACAAGAACACAAUCUUAGAAUGACAAAAAAAACCCUAAAUAACCUCUAAAAUCAAAACCUAAAACAAAACUUUAAAUAACUCCUAAAAUCAAAACUCAAAACAGAAUCCUAAAUAACUCCUAAAAUCAAAAUCCAAAACAGAAUCCUAAAUAAUCUCUAAAAUCAAAAGCCAAAAUGCAAAAUCUACAUAACCCUAAAAUCUAACACCCAAAACAGAACCUUACAUAAUCUCUACGAUCAAAAUCCAAAACGAAAUUCUAAAUAACACCUAAAAUCAAAACUCAAAACAAAACCCUAAAUAACCUCUAAAAUCAAAACCCAAUUGGUAACCUAAAUAACCCCUUUAAAACCAAAAACCAAAAAAACUCCAAUAUCAAAAAACAAAUGAAAAAAAAACAACCUCAAAAUCGAAGAAAAAAUCGAUUCACACUCGCACUCCAAGUUGCACUCCCAAUCGAAAUUGAAAAUCGUACUCGUCACCAAAAUCUCACUUCAAUUCCAAAUCUCCUUAAAAUCGCAUUGCUCAAACUUCUGCUUCAUUCUCGCAAAAGCUACUCUUUCAACCCUACAUUUUUAAAAUCACCACCUUAUCAACUCAACCCCACAAUUCAAUAUUCUAUCAUUUCAUUGUCCACGUCAUGAGGUGUAAUUUUGCGCAUCC